AAUACAAAUGAAGGUGAUUUAUGGUUUAUUGGAACAAUACACAGAAGACUUGCAUGGCUCUCUGAGCAAGGAGGAUGACAAGCAAAUUAGUGAAGGUAUCUAUAUUUUU
ensembl:snRNA U6 U6 spliceosomal RNA